rnacentral:rRNA from 1 species
UACGGAGGGAGCAAGCGUUACUCGGAAUUAUUGGGCGUAAAGGGCGCGUAGGCGAUCCUGUAAGUCUCGUGUGAAAUCCCAGGGCUUAACCCUGGAAUGGCAAGAGAAACUGCGGGAAUUGAGUUCCGGAGAGGAAGGCAGAAUUCCCGGUGUAGCGGUGAAAUGCGUAGAUAUCGGGAGGAAUACCAGUGGCGAAGGCGGCCUUCUGGACGGAUACUGACGCUGAGGCGCGAAAGCCAGGGGAGCAAAGCGGG